rnacentral:rRNA from 1 species
GGGGAUAAGCGGAAGAAAUUCCGUCUAAUACCGCGUAAUAACUCCGAGAGGCAUCUCAUGGAGUUUAAAGGGUAACACCGGCUACGGAUGGCCAUGCGGCGCAUUAGCUAGUUGGCGGGGUAACGGCCCACCAAGGCGACGAUGCGUAGGGGUUCUGAGAGGAAGGUCCCCCACACUGGUACUGAGACACGGACCAGACUCCUACGGGAGGCAGCAGUGAGGAAUAUUGGUCAAUGGGCGCGAGCCUGAACCAGCCAAGUCGCGUGAGGGAAGACGGUCCUAUGGAUUGUAAACCUCUUUUGUCGGGGAGCAAAAGACGUCACGUGUGGCGUUCCGAGAGUACCCGAAGAAAAAGCAUCGGCUAACUCCGUGCCAGCAGCCGCGGUAAUACGGAGGAUGCGAGCGUUAUCCGGAUUUAUUGGGUUUAAAGGGUGCGCAGGCGGAAGAUCAAGUCAGCGGUAAAAUUGAGGGGCUCAACCUCUUCGAGCCGUUGAAACUGGUUUUCUUGAGUGAGCGAGAAGUAUGCGGAAUGCGUGGUGUAGCGGUGAAAUGCAUAGAUAUCACGCAGAACUCCGAUUGCGAAGGCAGCAUACCGGCGCUCAACUGACGCUCAUGCACGAAAGUGUGGGUAUCGAACAGGAUUAGAUACCCUGGUAGUCCACACAGUAAACGAUGAA